GGGUUUAAAUACAACACUGGACUUUCUACAAAAUAGACCAGCUCGACAAAAGGGGAACUAUCCUACAACCAACUAGCAGGACACGCUCUCCAACCCUUAUGACUUCACCUCUGCAACUCCUCAAGACCAACCAAAGCUAUCUGGCCGCUCCGUCCACCAGGGACCUGAAAUUUUAAUCCCACAACCGGGAUGAGACGAUGUCUCAGCAAGUUCAACCCCCUAAACCCCUAUUAGAAAGAAAAUACGCCCCGGGUGGCCUAGCCACAUCACACAUAAGACUUACCUCGCCUCAGCCUUCAUCUGCAGGUUAGCACAAUUUAUCUAAUUCAACCACGUACAAUUAUGAUAACCAAACAACCAUGUCACAAUCACAUUAUCAAAACAAUCCAACCACUCGGAUCGUCUCAGCGAUCAAUCGACUCGGCCGAUUACAUGUCAUUCUAGCAAAUCAAUCAUUGCUCUCAAUCACGGCCCUAUAGGAAGGUUUAACAAUCAGUGGCAAUCACGGCCCCACUCGGCAUGACCUCUCCUAGGUGGUACAUCACGGCCUCACUAGGCACGACCUCUCAUAGGUGGUUCAUCACGGCCCUAUUAGGCACGACCUCUCAUAGGUGGUCAAUCACGGCCUCACUAGGCACGACCUCUCAUAGGUGGUACAUCACGGCCUCACUGGGCACGACCUCUCAUAGGUGGUUCAUCACAGCCUUACUGGGCACGACCUUUCCUAGGUGGUACGUCACGGCCUCACUGGGCACGACCUUUCCUAGGUGGUACGUCACGGCCUCACUGGGCACGACCUUUCUUAGGUGGUACAUCACAGCCAAUCUCCCAUCAAUUUCUACACUUAGGAUUUAUCAAGAAUCCCUAUUUAUCACAAUCACACUCCAUUUGCCACAAUCAAUCAUCAAAUUCAAAUUUUAAAUACACAGCAGCGAUCAGCACGAAAUUCUGAGAGAGUAAGGUUCCAAACUAAUUUUCAGAAUUUAUUAAAUAAUUAAAUUUAUUCCGAAAAUUAAUUAAAUAAUAAUAUCCAUAUUUUCGUCAUCCAUACCCAAUUUAUAAUAUCUAACCAUCAAUUUCAAAAUCCGAACGCAUAAUAGCGAUCGGCACGAAAUUCUGAGCAAUCGGGAUCAAAAAUAAUUUUUCCCUUUUUUUUUUAAUAAUAAUAUUUUAAUAAUUUUGGAAUAUGAUAUAAUAUUAUAAAUUCCAGAAUUUCGAAACAAUUAAAUAAUUCAAAAAUAAAACCCUAUUAUGUCCCAUCAAGGUUUAUUAUUAAAUAAAUUCUCUUAGCCUUUAAUUAAACACACUUUAAAUUAAACAAACCUUUUAAUCCAAAUCACAAUUAAAUAAACUAAGAUAUCCACAUAAACUUGCUUAACUUAAAUUAAGCACACUUAGGGCAUAAUUAACCGUCUAAUCAAGAUUUAGUGAGCUAAACUCACCGGAUUAGCGAGCCGAGCGGAUCAAAACGACGGGAUCGACGCGAGGAUCGACUUUCCUCAAAGCGGGCCGAGCAUCCGGGCUCGGGAAGGCGGCCAAAACGGGCCAAAUAGGUGCUGCCAUACCCAUUUUUGCAGCUACUGCUUUGGGGUUGGAGGAGGCGGAGCCGGCGCCGGUUCGGGUCGGAAAGGGCGGAGGAGGACCGGCGGCAGCUUGGGGCGGUGGCUCAUGGCUGCCCGGCAGGCUCCCCGGCGACGGCUGGUGGCUCGGGACGACGGACGAUGGCUGCUGGCGUGCGAACGAAGCACAGACGGGAGGGCGGAGCAACUCGCACACGAGACGGCGUGCGUGCGGACGAACGGCGACUGCAACGAGCUCCGGCGACGGGCGAGCUGGUCGGGUGAGUGGCGAACGACGGGCUUCUCUGGUUCGCUACUGAAUCUCGAAGCCUUCAAGGCACACCCAAGAAAGAGGAAAGAUGGCCGAACAGCAGGGGGAGAGAGGGGCGGAGCUGGGAGCGGCUGGACAGGCGACGGCCUCCGG
rnacentral:lncRNA from 1 species